rnacentral:rRNA from 1 species
AACGAACGCUGGCGGCAUGCCUAACACAUGCAAGUCGAACGAAGGCUUCGGCCUUAGUGGCGCACGGGUGCGUAACGCGUGGGAAUCUGCCCUUAGGUUCGGAAUAACAGCUGGAAACGGCUGCUAAUACCGGAUGAUGACGAAAGUCCAAAGAUUUAUCGCCUGAGGAUGAGCCCGCGUUGGAUUAGGUAGUUGGUGGGGUAAAGGCCUACCAAGCCGACGAUCCAUAGCUGGUCUGAGAGGAUGAUCAGCCACACUGGGACUGAGACACGGCCCAGACUCCUACGGGAGGCAGCAGUGGGGAAUAUUGGACAAUGGGCGAAAGCCUGAUCCAGCAAUGCCGCGUGAGUGAUGAAGGCCCUAGGGUUGUAAAGCUCUUUUACCCGGGAAGAUAAUGACUGUACCGGGAGAAUAAGUCCCGGCUAACUCCGUGCCAGCAGCCGCGGUAAUACGGAGGGGGCUAGCGUUGUUCGGAAUUACUGGGCGUAAAGCGCACGUAGGCGGCUUUGUAAGUCAGAGGUGAAAGCCUGGAGCUCAACUCCAGAACUGCCUUUGAGACUGCAUCGCUUGAAUCCAGGAGAGGUCAGUGGAAUUCCGAGUGUAGAGGUGAAAUUCGUAGAUAU